rnacentral:rRNA from 1 species
AUGGGGAUAUCCUUCCGAAAGGAGGGGCAAUACCGAAUUAUUGUCCGGAGCCGUGAAGGGUUCCGGGGAAAGGGAGGCCUCUGAUACAAGCUUUCGUCCUUAAGAUGAGCCCAUGGCCCAUCAGCUAGUUGGUAGGGUAAAGGCCUACCAAGGCUACGACGGGUACGCUGGUCUGGAGAGGACGACCAGCCACACUGGCACUGAGAUACGGGCCAGACUCCUACGGGAGGCAGCAGUGAGGAAUAUUGCGCAAUGGGGGAAACCCUGACGCAGCAACGCCGNGUGU